rfam:Paenibacillus macerans strain 8244 genomic scaffold scaffold1, whole genome shotgun sequence.
AUAAUGAUACUUCUGCCUGGCCAACGUCACGGUAUUGGGGGCAGCCCGCUCGGAUGAGGGGGAGCUUCGGAAAACCGAAGUUAUGA